GCUAUGGAAACACUUUCGGGUAACUGCUGUUUUUCAAAGAAUUGUUCUUUUGCUAUAACGAUUUGGUUUGGGACAUUGUUUUCGCAAAAACCAAAUUUGUUCCACCAUUGGUAGAACCAAUAUGGUAAAGGAUAAGAAAAAUUGUCAUCGAAGAAGAAAAAGAAUGACACAGACAAUUGUUCAUUUUGCUUGAAAAAGGUUCUUUCCCAAGCAAUCUGAUAAUCAUAGUAAUUAUACUUGAUAUUUUGUUUUAUUUGUCCAAUGGUCAUAAUCAUUUCUCUCAUUUUGUGAGGUUCAAGACCCCAAUCUGUUAAAGUCCAUACUUUCAAAAUUCUGACUUUACAAUAUCUUAAUUUGUUGGGAUUUUGUGGAUCAUAAUUAUUAUGUAUAACUAUAGAAUAAGUAUUGCUGAGAAUUGUUUCAUAGAACUGUUGGGAUUUUUGGAAAUUGUCUGGUAUGUAGUAAUGAUUUCUUGGGAAAAUCGUACUACAUAAUUGAUAAAUAUUUAAAUUGGGAUUUUGAGCCCAAUAUUCGGGUUCAAUGGUCAAAAUGUAUUCGUCUAUGGAUUUAUAACUGUAUUCUGUUUGGGCUGGUUCUUGGGUUAAUAGUGGAUUGGAAGAUGAUGGUUCUGUGGCAGGUGGGCCGGUAACUGCUUGUUUGAAAG
rnacentral:lncRNA from 1 species